UCCUAAUAAGGCAGGGCCAUCUGUGUAGGU
rnacentral:piRNA from 1 species